rnacentral:rRNA from 1 species
GGAAGUUAAAGUCGUAACAAGGUUUCCGUAGGUGAACCUGCGGAAGGAUCAUUAAUGAUUGCGAAUGGUUGCCUUCGGUGCUGGCUCUUGCAAGUGCACGUUGGUGGCUUUCAUCCAAUACCCUUGUGAACCUUUGGCCUCUUGCUGGCUUUGGCCGGCAGAGGAUUUUUACACACACUCGAAUGUAAUGAAAACUAUUGUCGUGCGCAAGCACUAAUGUACAACUUUCAACAACGGAUCUCUUGGCUCUCGCAUCGAUGAAGAACGCAGCGAAAUGCGAUAAGUAAUGUGAAUUGCAGAAUUCAGUGAAUCAUCGAAUCUUUGAACGCACCUUGCACCCUUUGGUAUUCCGAAGGGUAUGCUCGUUUGAGUGUCAUUGUACUCUCACUCUCUCUGAUCCUUUGGAUUCAGGGAGUGGUGGACUUGGGUGUUUGCUGCUUUCCUUGUGGCUCACCUCAAAUGCGUCAGUGCACCUCUUGGUUGGACAUAGUACGGCGUGAUAAGUAUCUUCGCCGGCACCUCGCGAGAGGGUGGCCGAUCGGGAGCUCUGUGCUUUCAAACUGUCUUCGGACAAUCUCUGACAACUUGACCUCAAAUCGAGUAGGACUACCCGCUGAACUUAAGC